UACGAAGGGGGGCUAGCGUUGCUCGGAAUCACUGGGCGUAAAGGGUGCGUAGGCGGGUUAUUAAGUCAGAGGUGAAAUCCUGGAGCUCAACUCCAGAACUGCCUUUGAUACUGAUAGUCUUGAGUAUGGGAGAGGUGAGUGGAACUGCGAGUGUAGAGGUGAAAUUCGUAGAUAUUCGCAAGAACACCAGUGGCGAAGGCGGCUCACUGGCCCAUUACUGACGCUGAGGCACGAAAGCGUGGGGAGCAAACAGGG
rnacentral:rRNA from 1 species